UACAGAAAACAGUUAAUAUUGCCACACACGU
rnacentral:piRNA from 1 species